AGGCCCCGGUCGGCACGGCGCUUGCGCACCGCGAGGUACUCGGUGAUCCGCUCCUUCACGUCCUGCAGACCCGCG
rnacentral:tRNA from 1 species